rnacentral:rRNA from 1 species
AUACGGAGGGUGCGAGCGUUAAUCGGAAUUACUGGGCGUAAAGCGUACGUAGGCGGUUUGCUAAGUCAGAUGUGAAAGCCCCGGGCUUAACCUGGGAACUGCACUUGAUACUGGCAGACUAGAGUAUGAUAGAGGGGGGUAGAAUUCCUGGUGUAGCGGUGAAAUGCGUAGAUAUCAGGAGGAAUACCAGUGGCGAAGGCGGCCCCCUGGAUCAAUACUGACGCUGAGGUACGAAAGCGUGGGGAGCGAACAGGAUUAGAAACCCCAGUAGUCC